rnacentral:rRNA from 1 species
UAAGACUGGGAUAACUCCGGGAAACCGGGGCUAAUACCGGAUAACAUUUUGAACCGCAUGGUUCGAAAUUGAAAGGCGGCUUCGGCUGUCACUUAUGGAUGGACCCGCGUCGCAUUACCUAGUUGGUGAGGUAACGGCUCACCAAGGCAACGAUGCGUACCCGACCUGAGAGGGUGAUCGGCCACACUGGGACUGAGACACGGCCCAAACUCCUACGGGAGGCAGCAGUAGGGAAUCUUCCGCAAUGGACGAAAGUCUGACGGAGCAACGCCGCGUGAGUGAUGAAGGCUUUCGGGUCGUAAAACUCUGUUGUUAGGGAAAAACAAGUGCUAGUUGAAUAAGCUGGCACCUUGACGGUACCUAACCAGAAAGCCACGGCUAACUACGUGCCAGCAGCCGCGGUAAUACGUAGGUGGCAAGCGUUAUCCGGAAUUAUUGGGCGUAAAGCGCGCGCAGGUGGUUUCUUAAGUCUGAUGUGAAAGCCCACGGCUCAACCGUGGAGGGUCAUUGGAAACUGGGAGACUUGAGUGCAGAAGAGGAAAGUGGAAUUCCAUGUGUAGCGGUGAAAUGCGUAGAGAUAUGGAGGAACACCAGUGGCGAAAGGCGACUUCUCUGGUCUGUAACUGACACUGAGGCGCGAAAGCGUGGGGAGCAAACAGGAUUAGAUACCCUGUAGUCCACGCCGUAACG